GGCUCUGAGAUAAGGGGAAUUGCUGCUGAAGGUUGAAAAUGUUUCUGAAAGUUUGCAGUGUUGGUAGUCAAUAUUGCUCAUUGUUACAAACAUAUAAAGUCCCUUUAUAAGAUCAGCACAUAUUUCUCAGUAUUUCUAAUCCAAUAUUAUUUUGAAAAAGUAACAUGGUGAUUGGUCUCAUUUUCUAGGUGUGUAUAUGCAAUCAGCACAAGAGGGCAUUGAAGAAACACGAUGAAAGUAUAAAAUAUGUCCGUUCUUUAGUUUUGGAGAAGUAAGUGUUUUAAACUUAUUUUCAACCGGUUGAGAAUGUUCUCCUCGUAGUGCGGCAGAUGAGGAUAACCACUCCCUUUAUCCCUCCGUUAAAAUGCGUAACCCAUAGUUUGCGCCACUGGUCUCGGCAAGACAAUGGAAAUAUUUGACUAACGUUAGGUUCACUUAAAUUAGAGUGCCCUUUAAGGACUAUUAGGCUAUUUCUGGUUAUAUUAAUUUAGCUAGCUAGCUAGCUAGUUUGCUCUCAUAAGGUGACGUUAUCGAUAGCGUAAGCUAGCUAGUUUGCUCCCAAGAUGAGCGCGUAUUAUGGAGGUAGCUAUGGUAACAAACAGAAAUGUGUGGUAAGUGGGAGCACAGUCUGUCAAUCAUAGCUAAUUGACAGUUCUCAUUACCAUGCCCAGACAGUUUGGGUGAACUUUUACAACUGCCAAGUAUCACAUUCAACCACCAUGUUACUCCUUUAAUAUAUGUCACAGCAGUGUGACAGAGUGGUUUGAUUUAUGAACUCCUGUUUUAGUCUUCAACUGUAUAAAAUAGUUUGUCAGGAGCUGAAUUUGAGUGUGGAUUUUGGUAUUUAAUUGAGAGUGUAAUUAUGUUGUACUAGUAAAGAUUUGAGUCUGGGAUUAAAUGUGGGUUACGCUGUAGCCUCACCAACCUAGGGGCAAGCCUGAGGACACAUUUAAAAAAACUGAUGAGAGGGGGUCAAAGGUUGAAUUCAAAAGAUACAUGCUAAAACAUACUGGGGAGGAGUCCAUAAAUUGUAGUCCUCCGGUAAACCUAAUGGUCAGACCUUGAGAUUGAAUAAUAAUAAUAAAUGAAUAUUUAUCUACAUUAACACAUCAUGUCUGUAUUUUUAAAAUAUGUUUUGACUCUAUACAUUGCUAAUCAGUUGUUCGUUUUUUUUAACAAUCACUUUGACACUAAUUUGAGAAGCUUGAGGUCAUUUUUUUUUUAAAUCACUUCUUUGCAAUGACACGACUUAACAUCAAAGCAUUAGCAUUUCAAAAUGAAAUACACACAUUACAUAUGAUACAACUGUCUUUUCAUUCAUUACAAUGCAUCUAACUCUCAAUGAAUCCAACUAGUCAAAAUGAUAAGUAACUGUAACUACUCCUAAGGAAAAGUUUUAUGGAAACUGAUUACUGUAACAACAUUCCAUGUUUAGAUCAUGAAUGCUUUAGGAUAAAGAAAUCUCUUCUA